rnacentral:rRNA from 1 species
GCAUAUCAAUAAGCGGAGGAAAAGAAAAUAACAAUGAUUUCCCUAGUAACGGCGAGUGAAGAGGAAAGAGCUCAAAGUUGGAACCUGUUUGGCCUAGCUAAACCGGAUUGUAGACUGUAGAAGUGUUUUCCAGGCAAGCCGAGUAAAUAAGUCCUUUGGAACAGGGCAUCAUAGAGGGUGAGAAUCCCGUCUUUGGCUUGAGUUGCCUUUUGUGAUACGCUUUCAAAGAGUCAGGUUGUUUGGGAAUGCAGCCUAAAUUGGGUGGUAAAUCUCACCUAAAGCUAAAUAUUGGCGAGAAACCGAUAGCGAACAAGUACCGUGAGGGAAAGAUGAAAAGAACUUUGAAAAGAGAGUUAAACAGUAUGUGAAAUUGUUAAAAGGGAACCGUUUGGAGCCAGACUGGCUUGUCUGUAAUCAAUCUAGGCUUCGGCCUGGAUGCACUUGCAGGCUAUGCCUGCCAACGACAAUUUGACUUGAGGGAAAAAACUAGGGGAAAUGUGGCCCACUUGUGGGUGUUAUAGUCCCUUAGAAAAUACCUUGGGUUGGAUUGAGGAACGCAGCGAAUGCUUAUUGGCGAGUUUUCCAGGAGUUUUCUGAGGUACUACGGUAUCAAGGUUGAUCUUUUUGGUUAUACUUCUAUUCGCUUAGGUUGUUGGCUUAAUGACUCUAAAUGACCCGUCUUGAAACACGGACCAAGGAGUCCACCAUUAGUGCGAGUAUUUGGGUGCCAAACCCAUAUGCGUAAGGAAACUGAUUGAUACGAAUCCAUUAAGGAGGCAGUAUCGUCCGGCGCUGACGUUUUAUACUGAAUUGACCGAGACAAAGCACUAAUGAUGGGACCCGAAAGAUGGUGAACUAUGCCUGAAUAGGGUGAAGCCAGAGGAAACUCUGGUGGAGGCUCGUAGCGAUUCUGACGUGCAAAUCGAUCGUCAAAUUUGGGUAUAGGGGCGAAAGACRAAUCGAACCAUGUAGCUGGUCCUG